AACAGGAUUAGAUACCCUGGUAGUCCACGCCCUAAACGAUGUCUACUAGUUGUCGGGUUUUAAUUAACUUGGUAACGCAGCUAACGCGUGAAGUAGACCGCCUGGGGAGUACGGUCGCAAGAUUAAAACUCAAAGGAAUUGACGGGGACCCGCACAAGCGGUGGAUGAUGUGGAUUAAUUCGAUGCAACGCGAAAAACCUUACCUACCCUUGACAUGUCAGGAAUCCUCGAGAGAUUGAGGAGUGCCCGAAAGGGAGCCUGAACACAGGUGCUGCAUGGCUGUCGUCAGCUCGUGUCGUGAGAUGUUGGGUUAAGUCCCGCAACGAGCGCAACCCUUGUCAUUAGUUGCUACGAAAGGGCACUCUAAUGAGACUGCCGGUGACAAACCGGAGGAAGGUGGGGAUGACGUCAAGUCCUCAUGGCCCUUAUGGGUAGGGCUUCACACGUCAUACAAUGGUACAUACAGAGGGCCGCCAACCCGCGAGGGGGAGCUAAUCCCAGAAAGUGUAUCGUAGUCCGGAUCGCAGUCUGCAACUCGACUGCGUGAAGUUGGAAUCGCUAGUAAUCGCGGAUCAGCAUGUCGCGGUGAAUACGUUCCCGGGUCUUGUACACACCGCCCGUCACACCAUGGGAGCGGGUUUUACCAGAAGUAGGUAGCUUAACCGCAAGGAGGGCGCUUACCACGGUAGGAUUCGUGACUGGGGUGAAGUCGUAACAAGGUAACC
rnacentral:rRNA from 1 species